rnacentral:rRNA from 1 species
GAACUGAAGAGUUUGAUCAUGGCUCAGAUUGAACGCUGGCGGCAGGCCUAACACAUGCAAGUCGAGCGGAAACGAUCCUAGCUUGCUAGGAGGCGUCGAGCGGCGGACGGGUGAGUAACGCGUGAGAAUCUACCCAUGAGUGGGGGACAACCCGGGGAAACUCGGGCUAAUACCGCAUACGCCCUACGGGGUAAAGCAGGGGACCUUCGGGCCUUGCGCUGAUGGAUGAGCUCGCGUCGGAUUAGCUUGUUGGUGAGGUAAAGGCUCACCAAGGCGACGAUCCGUAGCUGGUCUGAGAGGAUGAUCAGCCACACCGGGACUGAGACACGGCCCGGACUCCUACGGGAGGCAGCAGUGGGGAAUAUUGGACAAUGGGGGCAACCCUGAUCCAGCCAUGCCGCGUGUGUGAAGAAGGCCUUCGGGUUGUAAAGCACUUUCAGCAGGGAGGAAGGCUUACCCCUAAUACGGGUGAGUACUUGACGUUACCUGCAGAAGAAGCACCGGCUAAUUUCGUGCCAGCAGCCGCGGUAAUACGAAAGGUGCAAGCGUUAAUCGGAAUUACUGGGCGUAAAGCGCGCGUAGGCGGUGUGUUAAGUCGGAUGUGAAAGCCCAGGGCUCAACCUUGGAAUUGCAUCCGAUACUGGCACGCUAGAGUGCAGUAGAGGGAGGUGGAAUUUCCGGUGUAGCGGUGAAAUGCGUAGAGAUCGGAAGGAACACCAGUGGCGAAGGCGGCCUCCUGGACUGACACUGACGCUGAGGUGCGAAAGCGUGGGGAG